AAUUAUAUAGUACCAAAGACAGUAGGAGUGAUGUAAUCACAUAACUAGUAUUCCUACCGAGGACAAAAUCAAAAAAAGGAUUUUAAAGUCUUCAUGUCUUUGUCAUGAGGACUUUUUAAUUAG
rnacentral:sRNA from 1 species